ensembl:scaRNA SCARNA1 Small Cajal body specific RNA 1
AUGCACCAGAUACGAGCCUGACAGUCUGCUUUGGCUGCAGGGCUUCAAACGGUGCGACAGUAGAAUCAGCCCUGAGUUUUAAGCUUUUCAGUGGAAGCAACACUGUGGAGUUAUGGCUCAGAGGCACAGAA